GAAAUGACUCAACCUGUUUCCAACACUUGCUGAAACCCAACUUAUCUACGGCCAGUUCUGCUCACUUCCGUCGUAAUCUGUCUGCAAACAUGUCGCCUGGAGCUCUGUGUUUCCUUCUCACAGUAGCAGCUCUUCUCAUGGGACUUUGUCGUGGAGAUUCUGUCUCACAAACAGCGGCUGCAAUUUCAGUGAAUGAGGGUGAUGAUGUCCUGUUGUUCUGUAAUUACACUACAACAAGCAGCAACCCUUACCUGUUCUGGUACCGUCAACAUUCCAGCGGCUCCACACAUUUUCUACUGCAGAAAAACCGAUAUAGUGAGAAUCGAGCGAGCUUACUGAAUGACCGGCUUUCCUCGGAUUUUGAUCAUGUGAACCGCACUAUCCAGCUGAGAGUGUUGAGAACAGAACUAUCAGACUCCGCAGUGUAUUUCUGCGCACUGAACCCCACAGUCACUCAGAACUGAGCUGACCCUGUACAAAAACUCUGAGGGCGCCACUGAUCACGAUACUACAUCAGGCAAACAGUGAGAUAGGAAUGGAUCUGAAGUAGUUCCCGAAUUCACUGUGAUGUUUCACACUUCUAAUUCGGACACAAAACUUUCAUCCUUAGAAAUCUAUCGUUGAAAUAAUCUCGUGCCGUCAGUUUCGUGACUACGAAACAAAUGAUUGAGUUUGUGUCUUUCAUGAUGUUCCAAAUUACAGCAAUGAGGUCCCAUCGAAAAUUCAGAAAUUGGUUUUGAUCAAGCAAAAUCCUCCAGUAAUAGACGGAACUGGGUUUGAGAGACAGCGACGUGAAGCAGGAUGCGAGAAAUAAAA